rnacentral:rRNA from 1 species
UACGGGGGGGGCAAGCGUUGUUCGGAAUUACUGGGCGUAAAGGGCGCGUAGGCGGCCUGCUAAGUCGAACGUGAAAUCCCCGAGCUCAACUCGGGAACUGCGUCCGAUACUGACAGGCUUGAAUCCGGGAGAGGGAUGCGGAAUUCCAGGUGUAGCGGUGAAAUGCGUAGAUAUCUGGAGGAACACCGGUGGCGAAGGCGGCAUCCUGGACCGGCAUUGACGCUGAGGCGCGAAAGCCAGGGGAGCAAAGCGGG